rnacentral:lncRNA from 1 species
CUGGGAACCUGCCCCCAGUUGGUUCUGAUUGGUAAAUAGAGAUGCCAGCAGUCAAUAGCUAGGAAGGACAGACAGAGGCGGGAUUUUAGGACCCUGCCCCCUCUUGGGACCGGAAGCAGAGAGGAGAAGGAGGAGAUCCAUCAGGUUGGAAGAGUGUGGAGUGACGCCAUGCUUGAGAAGAGAGCAGGACAAAAGAGCACGGCCCUGAGGGUUGCCCAACAGGGUCUAGAGCGGCCAAGAUAGAACAUAGAAUUCAACAGAAGAAAAAAAGGCCUUCAUGUUCCUUCUGCUCCACAAAAAGUUUUUGUCUCCCCUCAGCUCACCUUUAAGACUGUUCAUGCUGCUAACAAAUAAGCUCCAGAAAAUCCACCCAGAUCUACCUCUCGUGCACCAAGCAGACUCCAUCUGGAUAAGGACACCUGCCAAUCAUUAGCCUGAGCCCCACUUGCUCCCUGUUCCAGAGGGUGGGAGUCCUUUCCUGUUUCUGGGAUUGGGACUCCCCUCACCCCAACCGCCAAGUCCUAAGGGUUUCAAAUGUACACCUAAGGAAAAAAGAUGUCCCCAAACGUACUUAACUUUAUUCUCUACCUCUGAUAUGUGUGCUUCAGCAUCUUGUCAAGUCCAGGCAUCUACUCAAAGUCUACAUCCAGGACAGCUCCAGAGGAGCAACCCAUAGACACAGCCAGAUGUGCCUGGCUUACUAUAAAAGGGGCUGUUUUUUCCUCUCUCCCUUACUCUCUGCCCUCCUCUCUGCCCUCUCUUCCUGCUUCUCCCUCUUUCCCCAUCCCCUCUACCUCUCUGUCUGCAUGUUCCUGGCUGACCUCCCCUCUCCCUCUCCCCCUCCCCCUUUUCCUCUCCCUCUCCUUCCUCUCCCUCCCCCUCUUUCUCUCCCUCCUUCUCCCCCUCCCCUCCUUACUCUCCCUCUCCCCCUCUCUGUCCUUCUCUGUCUCUUCUCCUUCCUUAACUGCCCUUCUCACUCCCUAAAUAAACUCUAUGCCCUAUGGCUGGUGCCUCAGUGGGGAGGGAUGCUCAGCAUGGGCCUGCAGAGGCAUCCCCUUCCACUUCACUGUACCUUGCUCCAUCAAACCUAUCCUUGGCUCCUUUUCUUUUUUCUUUUUUUAAAGAUUUAUUUAUUUAUUUUUAUGUAUAUGAGUGCACUGUAGCUGUACAGAUGGUUGUGAGCCACCAUGUGGUUGCUGGGAUUUGAACUCAGGACCUUCAGAAGAGCAAUCAGUGCUCUUAACCGCUGAGUCCUCUCUCCAGCCCAUCCUUUUCUUUUUUUAUAAAACACAACCAAUGUGUUUGCAUCUCUGGAUUGUGAUAGUUCUGAUGGGCUACAUAACGAUACCAACCGAGAAAUAAGGAACAAGAUAGAAAUCCAAGAUGGCGGAGCUCAGGUGAAAUUAGUGGUUGUUCUGGGCUCUGGACAGGACAGAGGGUGACAGCAAUUUCUUGUUGUUGAAGGUAACAUGUCCCAAAGUCCCCCAGUGGGUGCCUGAAGGCAUUGACAGUGCUGAUUUUGUAUACACCAUGUCUUACCUGUAUAUACUAUUUGUUUGUAUUGCCUGUAUAUACUGCUACGGUUUUAGGAUAUGAACUGCUUCCCCCACCCCAAGUCUCUAAUGUUGAAGCUUUGGUCAUCAAUUUAAUGAUCACAGGUGGGGUUGCCCUAAUCAGUGUAUUAAUCCAUUGACAGUAGAAAAUCUUAACAGAUUAUCAUUGUAUGUAUGGACAUUUGUUCAAGUGAAUGCUGUGGUACUCACGUGUAGGUCAAGACAGAUUUCAGCAGUCAGUUUUCUCCUCCCACCUCCAGCUGGGUUCUUGAGGGUUGAAUUAGAGUUCCAGGCUUGCUUUACCCACUGAGUUGCCUCUCUGGUCUUGGAUUUUAUUUUAUUUUUGAGACAAGAUCUUAUGUAUCCCAGUCUGGCCUGGAACAACUCAUCUUCCUGUCUCUACCUCCUGAGUGUUAGGAUCACAGGGUGUACCACCAUUCCUAGUUUGUGUGCUGAGAUUCAGGGCUUCAGGAGUGGUAGGUAAACACUCUACCAAUAAGCCACUUGCCCCGAGUUAUUGGUUGAUGGAUUCUUAAUCUGAGGCAGCAGUAACAGGAAGUGGCAACUAGGGGGUGGGGCAUACUUGGGAAUGGCAACAAGUGGGUGGGGCUGAGUUGGGAAGUGGUAAUGUGCCUGCCUUUGAAGGCCAUAUUUAUGACUGGCCUUGUCUCUGGCCUCCACCAAGUGAGCAGCUGCCUCUGUUCAACCCUCUCACUGACCCACAUUUCAUCUCAGCAAAGGUUCACAGCCUCCCCUCGGUCCUACAGUCAUGACAUUCUGUGGCACCACAGGCCCUUUGCAGUGCAGCUGGCCAAGGAUGGAUUGAAAUCUACGAAGCGGUGGGACAAAGCAGCUUCUUUCCCUAAGCUGUAUUUCUCCAUGUUUUGCCAUAAAAAUGAAAAAAGAAGAAAGCAGAAAAACAACAACAACAAUACCCAAACCCAAAAUUGUAUGAAUGUGGUCUGUUUCUCUCAAAAUAACUUCUACACUUGCCUUCUCAUAAAUAAAGCACACGACACGUUCUCUGUGUUAUUUCUCCAUAGGGAACGAACUGGGGGAACUCUCGAGGUGAUCAGCGGUCUCCAUUCCUAUGUCAUGAGAGUUCCAUCAUGUGAUGAGGAUCUUUCACUGAACGUGGAGCCAGACUGGACACCAGCAAGCCCCAGAGACCCUCCUGUCUCCACUCCUUGAAAUGCUAGGGUCACAGGUGUGCAACGGCCAUAUUUGGCUUUUUAUGUGCACUCUGAGGACUUGAACUGAGGUCCUCACAGUAGCUCAGCAAGUGGUCUUACUGUCUCAGCCAUUUCUCCAGCCCCACGUUGUCAGAGUUUUAAAGAGAAGCUGGCAACUCAAGCUUUUUAUGUGAAAUAACUGUUUAAAAAAAAAAUAGUAGCAACUAAAUAAAAUUAAAAGUGAC